rnacentral:rRNA from 1 species
UACGUAGGGUGCAAGCGUUGUCCGGAAUUAUUGGGCGUAAAGAGCUCGUAGGCGGUUCGUUGUGUCGGCGGUGAAAUCCCCGGGCUCAACCUGGGAAUGGCCGUUGAAACUGGCGAACUGGAGUGUGGCAGAGGGGGGUGGAAUUCCGCGUGGUAGCAGUGAAAUGCGUAGAUAUGCGGAGGAACACCGAUGGCGAAGGCAAUCCCCUGGGCCUGUACGUGACGCUCAUGCACGAAAGCGUGGGGAGCAAACAGG